UUUUUUUUUUUUUUUUAAUUCUUUAUUUUUGGUCUGACGAAGAGGUCAACACAGAAAUAUGCAGGUGUACAUAUGCAAGUGACAGCGCAGUGUCGUACAUUGUUACAGAAUGAAAGUUGCAUUGGUUAUUUUAAGCACUUUACCGACACUUUAUACCCUGCGGACGUCCCCGUCCGAUAUUUUCGGUUAUGCUGGCAAGCACAAUUAACUAUAUACAAUGGUGGUAGUGUGGAGGGGUAGGCGUAGGGAGUAGAGUCGCAGUCCCAGACCUCUUUGGGCCCGUGACUGUUCCCCCGACUUCCCCCAUUGUCUGCAGAGCAUAAGCGUAUUUAAGCCUGACUCCUCUUUCACCAGCUUGCGAGUCUGGAGUGCCUGCUUGUAAUAGGUAGGUAGAGAUGAGAGAUAGGAAAGUAUAGACAAGUAAAUGCGUGUAGGUGUCGUCUUAGUAUGGUUUCCCGAGGGACCAGUAGCAGAGGUCCCCGG